rnacentral:tRNA from 1 species
GCGCCCGUAGCUCAGGUGCAUAGAGCAUCCGUGGCCUUCUAAGCCGAGGGUCGCAGGUUCGAGUCCUGCCGGGCGCGCCA